rnacentral:rRNA from 1 species
CAGUCGCCGCGGGAAUACAGAGGGUGCAAGCGUUAAUCGGAAUUACUGGGCGUAAAGCGCGCGUAGGUGGUUUGUUAAGUUGGAUGUGAAAUCCCCGGGCUCAACCUGGGAACUGCAUCCAAAACUGGCAAGCUAGAGUAUUGUAGAGGGUGGUGGAAUUUCCUGUGUAGCGGUGAAAUGCGUAGAUAUAGGAAGGAACACCAGUGGCGAAGGCGACCACCUGGACUGAUACUGACACUGAGGUGCGAAAGCGUGGGGAGCAAACAGGAUUAGAUACCCCGUAGUCCCUGUCUCUUAUACA